UGAAUUCUAAUGAAAGUGCGAGCAUUC
rnacentral:piRNA from 1 species